rnacentral:sRNA from 1 species
UUGCUAUCUGCGAUAUGGAAGAUUCGAACCUGCCGCAGGUUCGGGUCUCACGCAGUGAGACAACGGAGCCGUUUACGGCGAGGCCCGAAGGGCGAGCGAAGCGAGUCAUCCUGCACAACCCACCA